rnacentral:lncRNA from 1 species
AAUUUAUCCAUGCAAAUGAGUUUCAUCAUUUUUCCACCAAGUGUUGCAGGCUAUUUUGGUGGAAUCCAUCUCAUAUUGUCCAUAGUACAAUUUAUUUAAUAAAUAAAUGAUUUGAACAACUAACGCCUCAUAUAUAUUUACUAUCCGGCCAAGAACAAUGAAAUGAUUUUAAUAAAACACCUAGCCAACACAAACAAAGUGUCAGUGUACAUCCAACUUAUCUAUUUCCAAACACAACUCCAAAAUCCUUCAAGCCACAUUAAAUCCUUACCAUAGCCAGUCUUUAACCCUUCAACAUUCUUCAAAUCCUUCAUAAGUCUUCUAAUUUCACAGUACAUCAACUUCAAACUGAACAUCAUUCCAUCUCUUUUAUCCAUUAUCUAUACAACAUUUAAUAUCACAUCUUUUUUCAGAUCUAACAGUAGAACAAAAAACCUAAACUCUUCAUAACUCCCUGGAAUACUUUAAGAAAUUUAGCGAUGAAGCAACAAAUCAUAUCAACUGUUGAAUGCCUACAAUUUUCUUAAAUUACC